GAAAUGCGAUAAGUAGUGUGAAUUGCAGAAUUCAGUGAAUCAUCGAAUCUUUGAACGCACAUUGCGCCCCUUGGUAUUCCAUGGGGCAUGCCUGUUCGAGCGUCAUUUGUACCCUCAAGCUCUGCUUGGUGUUGGGUGUUUGUCCCCGUCUCCGCGCGUGGACUCGCCCCAAAGUGAUUGGCAGCCGGCGUACUGGUCCCGGAGCGCAGCACAUGUCGCACAAACGAGUGCCUUGGUACGGCGGCGUCCAUAAGCCCCUCUCUCACGCUCUUGACCUCGGAUCAGGUAGGGAUACCCGCUGAACUUACGC
rnacentral:misc_RNA from 1 species